rnacentral:rRNA from 1 species
UACGUAGGGUGCGAGCGUUAAUCGGAAUUACUGGGCGUAAAGCGUGCGCAGGCGGUUCGUUAUGUCCGAUGUGAAAGCCCCGGGCUCAACCUGGGAAUGGCGAUGGAUACUGGCUCGCUAGAGUGCGGUAGAGGAGAGUGGAAUUCCCGGUGUAGCAGUGAAAUGCGUAGAGAUCGGGAGGAACAUCAGUUGCGAAGGCGGCUCUCUGGACCAGCACUGACACUGAGGCACGAAAGCGUGGGGAGCAAACAGG